UACGUAGGUGACGAGCGUUGUCCGGAUUUACUGGGCGUAAAGAGCGCGCAGGCGGUCGUUCAAGUCGAGUGUGAAAGCCCCCGACUCAACUGGGGAGGGUCACUCGAUACUGAUCGACUCGAAGGCAGGAGAGGGUAGUGGAAUUCCCGGUGUAGUGGUGAAAUGCGUAGAUAUCGGGAGGAACACCAGUGGCGAAGGCGACUACCUGGCCUGUUCUUGACGCUGAGGCGCGAAAGCUAGGGGAGCAAACGGG
rnacentral:rRNA from 1 species